GAACGGAAAGGCCUUUUCGGAGGUACUCGAGUGGCGAACGGGUGAGUAACACGUGGGUGAUCUGCCCUGCACUCUGGGAUAAGCCUGGGAAACUGGGUCUAAUACCGGAUAGGACCGCACUUUAGUGUGUGUGGUGGAAAGUUUUUUCGGUGUAGGAUGAGCCCGCGGCCUAUCAGCUUGUUGGUGGGGUAAUGGCCUACCAAGGCGGCGACGGGUAGCCGGACUGAGAGGUUGGUCGGCCACAUUGGGACUGAGAUACGGCCCAGACUCCUACGGGAGGCAGCAGUGGGGAAUAUUGCACAAUGGGCGCAGGCCUGAUGCAGCGACGCCGCGUGGGGGGUGACGGCCUUCGGGUUGUAAACUCCUUUCGCCAGGGACGAAGCGUUUUGUGACGGUACCUGGAGAAGAAGCACCGGCUAACUACGUGCCAGCAGCCGCGGUAAUACAUAGGGUGCAAGCGUUGUCCGGAAUUACUGGGCGUAAAGAGCUCGUAGGUGGUUUGUCACGUCGUCUGUGAAAUUCCACAGCUUAACUGUGGGCGUGCAGGCGAUACGGGCUGACUUGAGUACUGUAGGGGUAACUGGAAUUCCUGGUGUAGCGGUGAAACGCGCAGAUAUCAGGAGGAACACCGAUGGCGAAGGCAGGUUACUGGGCAGUUACUGACGCUGAGGAGCGAAAGCAUGGG
rnacentral:rRNA from 1 species